rnacentral:lncRNA from 1 species
AAUCCUCCUCCCUUUUUUUUUUAUAUUUGGGUAUUGAUUGGGAGAUAUCUCGCCUUGUUAUGGGAUAUUCCUCCAACAAAACGUAGCCUUAAAGUUGACUGGUCCCACUAAGAUAAUAAUAUUAAUCCGAAGAUUAAAAACGAUCAAGAAGGUUGAUCCAAGAACCAAAAAAUUGGUAUCACGAACUUGAUCCCUUAUAUUUCUGAAAGUAUAGUAACUCUACUUUUAUUUUAUAGUGCGGCUACUUUUUUAGCUCGUGCAGUCAAUUAACUAAUACCAUAAAAAAAAACUGUAAAUUUUUUAAAAUUUCAAAUUAUUAAAAAAAUAUCACUUCAAUAUUUUCGGCAUGUAUAUAUAUAUAGUCCCACAC